rnacentral:rRNA from 1 species
GCUGGCGGCAGGCUUAACACAUGCAAGUCGAGCGGGCAUCCUUGUGGUGUCAGCGGCAGACGGGUGAGUAACGCGUGGGAACGUACCCUUUGGUUCGGAAUAACUCAGGGAAACUUGAGCUAAUACCGGAUACGCCCUUUUGGGGAAAGGCUUGCUGCCGAAGGAUCGGCCCGCGUCUGAUUAGCURGUUGGUGAGGUUAUGGCUCACCAAGGCGACGAUCAGUAGCUGGUCUGAGAGGAUGAUCAGCCACACUGGGACUGAGACACGGCCCAGACUCCUACGGGAGGCAGCAGUGGGGAAUAUUGGACAAUGGGGGCAACCCUGAUCCAGCCAUGCCGCGUGAGUGAUGACGGCCUUAGGGUUGUAAAGCUCUUUUCUCCGGGACGAUAAUGACGGUACCGGAGGAAUAAGCCCCGGCUAACUUCGUGCCAGCAGCCGCGGUAAUACGAAGGGGGCUAGCGUUGCUCGGAAUCACUGGGCGUAAAGGGCGCGUAGGCGGCUGAUUUAGUCGAGGGUGAAAGCCCGUGGCUCAACCACGGAAUGGCCUUCGAUACUGGUUGGCUUGAGACCGGAAGAGGACAGCGGAACUGCGAGUGUAGAGGUGAAAUUCGUAGAUAUUCGCAAGAACACCAGUGGCGAAGGCGGCUGUCUGGUCCGGUUCUGACGCUGAGGCGCGAAAGCGUGGGGAGCAAACAGGAUU